UACGUAGGGGGCUAGCGUUGUCCGGAAUUAUUGGGCGUAAAGAGCUCGUAGGCGGUCUGUCGCGUCGAUCGUGAAAACUUGGGGCUUAACCCUGAGCUUGCGGUCGAUACGGGCAUGACUGGAGUUCGGCAGGGGAGACUGGAAUUCCUGGUGUAGCGGUGAAAUGCGCAGAUAUCAGGAGGAACACCGGUGGCGAAGGCGGGUCUCUGGGCCGAUACUGACGCUGAGGAGCGAAAGCGUGGGGAGCGAACAGG
rnacentral:rRNA from 1 species